GCAUGUGGUUUAAUUUCGAAGCAACGCGAAGAACCUUACCAGGCCUUGACAUGCAGAGAACUUUCCAGAGAUGGAUUGGUGCCUUCGGGAACUCUGACACAGGUGCUGCGUGGCUGUCGUCAGCUCGUGUCGUGAGAUGUUGGGUUAAGUCCGUAACGAGCGCAACCCUUGUCCUUAGUUACCAGCACGUUAUGGUGGGCACUCUAAGGAGACUGCCGGUGACAAACCGGAGGAAGGUGGGGAUGACGUCAAGUCAUCAUGGCCCUUACGGCCUGGGCUACACACGUGCUACAAUGGUCGGUACAAAGGGUUGCCAAGCCGCGAGGUGGAGCUAAUCCCAUAAAACCGAUCGUAGUCCGGAUCGCAGUCUGCAACUCGACUGCGUGAAGUCGGAAUCGCUAGUAAUCGUGAAUCAGAAUGUCACGGUGAAUACGUUCCCGGGCCUU
rnacentral:rRNA from 1 species